rnacentral:misc_RNA from 1 species
UCCCGAUUGGCUCGGGCAGUCUUGUUUGAAAAAUACAACAAACAACAAGGGUUGCGCUCGUUGCGGGACUUAACCCAACAUCUCACGACACGAGCUGACGACGGCCAUGCAACACCUGUCACCGCGUUCCCGAAGGCACUCCCCUAUCUCUAGGGGAUUCGCGGGAUGUCAAGGGUCGGUAAGGUUCUUCGCGUAGCAUCGAAUUAAACCACAUGCUCCACUGCUUGUGCGGGUCCCCGUCAAUUCCUUUGAGUUUUAGCCUUGCGGCCGUACUCCCCAGGCGGGAUGCUUAACGCGUUAGCUUCGCAACGCAGAGGGUCGAUACUCCACACUACUAGCAUCCAUCGUUUACGGCGUGGACUAC